GGGAUCGACACUAACGGUAGACCGGAGGACCGAGGCCCCUAAAAAACAAUGUCGGUCUUCUCGAUCCUAUUUUUUGGAGGACCGACGGUCCUCUUAAUCUCAGAACCAUUUGUUAUCCCGCGGAUCACAAAAUCCACCAAAAAAACCUGAAAUCGUGUGCGAAAUGUUCAUGCUGAGUUUAUUUCUUGACCACGACCGUCGUCGGUAGAACGAUGACCUAAACAAUCCUGUAGGAAGUAUUUCCGGUUGAAGUCAGGUGCGUAUUAUCAUUGCUGAUAACUGUUUAAAGUCUGAAUCAUUUGUACGUUUGUAAUAAGGGCCCGUGUAAGUCAGUACGCUUCAAGCGUUUGAAUAACAGUCUGUAUCAUUUGUACGUUUGUAAUAAGGGCCCGUGCAAAUCAAAAUCGGAGACCCCAAGGGAAUGUUCAGUUUUUCAGCGGACAGAUGGGCAUGAGGUCAUCCCAGUUUCCCUUGAUUUGCAUGAGGACCAAGCUGAGCAUGAGGGGGAGGAAGAGGUAGAUGAGGAAGAUCUUCAGGAAGGGGCAACAUUCACGCCAGAUUCCCAGUCUGAUGAUGAGGAUGAGGAUCUCUCCAGGAGAGACCUUCUUGCUCUCCAGCAAAAGUCAUACAGACUUUUCAUUGAAAACUUAAGAAACUAGUUGAAUAUGGAAUAACAAAUACAAAAACUGAAAUGAG